rnacentral:rRNA from 1 species
AUUGAACGCUGGCGGCAUGCCUAACACAUGCAAGUCGAACGAGUGGCGGACGGGUGAGUGAUGGCUGGGAAACUGCCUGAUGGAGGGGGAUAACGACUGGAAACGGUAGCUAAUGCCGCAUAACAUCAGAUGGGCCCAGGGGGGAGUAGCGUGUGGGGGGGGAAACGGCUCACCAAGGCGACGAUCCCUAGCUGGUCUGAGAGGAUGACCGGCCACACUGGAACUGAGACACAGUCCAGACUCCUACGGGAGGCAGCAGUGGGGAAUAUUGCACAAUGGGCGCAAGCCUGAUGCAGCCAUGCCGCGUGUAUGAAGAAGGCUUUCGGGUCGUAAAGUACUUUCAGCGGGGAGGCGGUACCCGCAGAAGAAGCACCGGCUAACUCCGUGCCAGCAGCCGCGGUAAUAC